GUUUAUGUCUCAGUUGAUAUUUAGAUCAAGUUUAAAAAUUUGUUCUAUUAGUAUUGAUUGAUGAAUGCUUAGUAACUGCCUUUAACUAUCAUUUGAUGUUAGCCACGUGCAAGUAAGCUUUCAAAUCCAUUUGAAGGAAGUUUGCUAAAGGAUGAGUGUCCUUUACCUGCUAAAUAUUACAUCUCGAUGUAGGUUCAUCCUUUUCCUGUGGGAGGAGGGAAGGGAGGAGGGAAGGCAGACAGACAGGCAGUAUCUAAUCUGGGCAAUGCCUGUCUUUGUAAAUUUAAAUGAGAGUAACUUCCUCCAACCAGCUUAAUUUUUUUUUUAGACUGCGAUGAUGUCCUUCAAACACAUCCUUCAGGUGCCCAAAAUGGCAUUUUCAGUAUCAAGCUACCUGGAUCCAGUAAGAUAUUUUCUGUUUAUUGCGAUCAAGAGACCAGUUUGGGAGGAUGGCUUUUGAUCCAGCAAAGAAUGGAUGGAUCACUGAAUUUUAACCGGACCUGGCAAGACUACAAGAGAGGUUUCGGCAGCCUGAAUGACAAGGGGGAAGGAGAGUUCUGGCUAGGCAAUGACUACCUCCACUUACUCACUCUGAGAGGCUCUGUCCUCAGGGUUGAAUUAGAGGACUGGGCUGGAAAAGAGGCUUAUGCGGAGUACCACUUCCGGGUAGGCUCUGAGGC
rnacentral:lncRNA from 1 species